rnacentral:sRNA from 1 species
GCUGGGCAUGGCGGUGCACGCCUGUAAUCCCAGCUGCUUGGGAGGCUGAGGUAGAUGGAUCCCAAGUUCAAGGCCAGCUUGAGCAACUUAGUGAGAUCUUAUCUAAA